rnacentral:misc_RNA from 1 species
AAAAACUAGAAUGAAAGGUUAUACAUUCAAAUUUCUUUAUUAAUUUUUAAUAAAUAAUUUAUAUUAAAUAUAAAAAUGUAUUUAUAAAAAAAAAAGACGACAAGACCCUAUUAAAUUUUACUUAUAGUUUAGCUGGGGAAGCUUUUCAAUUAAAAUUUUUUAAAUUAAAUAAAUAAAAAUCUAAUAAAAUUAAAAUUUUAAUAAAUUACUAUAGGGAUAACAGCAUUAUAUUUUUUAAAAGUUCAUAUUAAAAAAAAUGAUUGUGACCUCGAUGUUGAAUUAUAUUUUCUAUAUUAAAUGCAAUAAUUAUAAAAGUAGAUCUGUUCGAUCUUUAAAAUAUUACAUGAUUUGAGUUCAAACCGGUGUAAACCAGGUUGGUUUCUAUCUUUUUAUACAUUUUUCCAGUACGAAAGGACAAAAAAAUUUUUAUUUUAAUAAAUUAGCAAAUAAAUGCAUUAGAUUUAGAAUCUAAAUAUAUUUAAUAAUU